rnacentral:rRNA from 1 species
AGCGAACGCUGGCGGCAGGCCUAACACAUGCAAGUCGAACGAUCCUUCGGGAUAGUGGCGGACGGGUGAGUAACACGUGGGAACGUGCCCUUUGGUUCGGAAUAACUCAGGGAAACUUGAGCUAAUACCGGAUGUGCCCUUCGGGGGAAAGAUUUAUCGCCAUUGGAGCGGCCCGCGUUGGAUUAGCUAGUUGGUGGGGUAAAGGCCCACCAAGGCUACGAUCCAUAGCUGGUCUGAGAGGAUGAUCAGCCACACUGGGACUGAGACACGGCCCAGACUCCUACGGGAGGCAGCAGUGGGGAAUCUUGCGCAAUGGGCGAAGGCCUGACGCAGCCAUGCCGCGUGAAUGAUGAAGGUCUUAGGAUUGUAAAAUUCUUUCACCGGGGACGAUAAUGACGGUACCCGGAGAAGAAGCCCCGGCUAACUUCGUGCCAGCCGCCGCCGUAAUAC